GCUGGGCGCGGUGCUGCAUGCCUAUAGUCUCAACUACUCUGGAGGCUGAGACUGGAGGAUCGCUUGAGCCCAGGAGUUCUGGGCUGUAGUGUGCUAUGCUGAUAAGGUUUCCACAAUAAGUUCGGCAUCAAUAUGGUGACCUCCUGGGAGCAGGGGACCACCAGCUUGCCUAAGGAGGGAUGAACUGGCCCAGGUAGGAAACAGAACAGGUCAAAACUCUUGUGCUGAUCAGUAGUGGGAUAGUGCCUGUGAAUAGCCACUGCACUCCGGCCUGGGCAACAUAGCAAGACCCUGUCACA
rnacentral:SRP_RNA from 1 species